GGUGCUGUAGUAUAGUGGUCAGUACAGCUCGUUGUGGUUUAAUCCCGAGCAGACCUGGGUUCGAUUCCCAGCAGCGCCA
rfam:Aspergillus oryzae RIB40 DNA, chromosome 3.